GAUGAACGCUGGCGGCGUGCCUAAUACAUGCAAGUCGAGCGAACAGACGAGGAGCUUGCUCCUCUGACGUUAGCGGCGGACGGGUGAGUAACACGUGGAUAACCUACCUAUAAGACUGGGAUAACUUCGGGAAACCGGAGCUAAUACCGGAUAAUAUAUUGAACCGCAUGGUUCAAUAGUGAAAGACGGUUUUGCUGGCUCUUCUAGAUGGAUCCGCGCCGCAUUAGCUAGUUGGUGAGGUAACGGCUUAUCAAGGCGACGAUGCGUAGCCGACCUGAGAGGGUGAUCGGCCACACUGGAACUGAGACACGGUCCAGACUCCGACAGGAGGCAGAAGUAGGGAAUCUUCCGCGAUGGGCGAAAGACUGACGGAGCAACGCAGCGUGAGUGAUGAAGGGCUUCGGGUCGUAAAACGCUGUUAUUAGGGAAGAACAAAUGUGUAAGUAACUAUGCACGUCUUGACGGUACCUAAUCAGAAAGCCACGGCUAACUACGU
rnacentral:rRNA from 1 species